AUGUAUUUAUUUGUUCAUUUUACACUUGCAGAACCGGUGUUAGCACAAAAAAGGCUUUCCCACGCAUAUAUUUUAAUCAAACCGUUUCACCCUGUUUUAUGCAUCGUGAUUUAAGCUAAUUUCUCUCAGGUGCAAUGAUAUGCCAACGAAUAAACAAUGAACUACUAUUAAUCAAUAUAGUUCAAACUGCUAUUCAAGUUUUUCUGCGGAUUACCAAAAGCUUUGAAUCGCUCGAACCAAUUAUCGUAUCCGACUGCAUUGUAAGGCUAACGGAGACCGGUCAGUUGCAUGGGAAUCACCGAGAGGAAUUAUUUGUCGAAAAUUUCAACACCAAUAACUUUGUUUAUCACAUCUGUUUAUCACAACUCUGUUCCAAUAACCCUAACCCUGAUGAAUCAGAAGCUUAUUCAGAAGCUUAAAGUCGCCAUUUUUGGCAUUGAAAAACCCAUACUGGGCAAUAUUUGGGCAUUUUAGGUUGUAUUCAGUGUUUAUUAUUUAAAUUGGCGUCUGAGGUCGGAUUCUGGCAUCUAAGUAUCCUCCCGGUUUUUGAAAACCAUAUUGCGUAGUAUUAGUAUUAAGUAUGUGUAUUUGGCCAUUUUACAGUCGGAUGAACCUCAUAAACGAAAGAAAUAAUACCAAUCAGACCGAAUGCGCAAUGGAAAUUUCAUUUUUUUUAUUCAAGAUAAGAUACCUAUAUAACGAAGAAUCUAAUAAUCUUUAUACAAACUAUUUUAGCAUUUUUGUUGUAGAUGGAGACGGCUUAAACACAACUGAAUCAAUUUGUAUCAAGGAUCGGGUUAAACUAAAAUGAGCUCUGUUGUGUCUUAUAUAUGCUGGAGACGUUUGCAUAAAUCACAUCUGUAUGAUAGUUUUUGUUCAUGAUGACAAUACGAUAAAACCAUGCAGACCAUCUGCUGCGUUUCUAUAAAAAGAAGAAGGGGAGAUAUCAUGAAAUAGCUCUAAUCGGGUGAUAGAAAUUGUGCUAGAUGCUAUUCUUGAAAUAAAAAAAAACUAACAAUAGAUCCACAAAUGGUUUUUACUAAUUAUUUAACCAUCCU